UACGAAGGGGGCUAGCGUUGCUCGGAAUCACUGGGCGUAAAGGGUGCGUAGGCGGGUCUUUAAGUCAGGGGUGAAAUCCUGGAGCUCAACUCCAGAACUGCCUUUGAUACUGAGGAUCUUGAGUUCGGGGAGAGGUGAGUGGAACUGCGAGUGUAGAGGUGAAAUUCGUAGAUAUUCGCAAGAACACCAGUGGCGAAGGCGGCUCACUGGGCCCCGGUCUGACGCUGAGGGUGCGAAAA
rnacentral:rRNA from 1 species